rnacentral:rRNA from 1 species
GAUGAACGCUAGCGGCAGGCUUAACACAUGCAAGUCGAGGGGUAUAGUUCUUCGGAAUUAGAGACCGGCGCACGGGUGCGUAACGCGUAUGCAAUCUACCUUUCACAGAGGGAUAGCCCCAGAGAAAUUUGGAUUAAUACCUCAUAGUAUAGCAGUUUCGCAUGAAACCACUAUUAAAGUCACAACGGUGAAAGAUGAGCAUGCGUCCCAUUAGCUAGUUGGUAAGGUAACGGCUUACCAAGGCAACGAUGGGUAGGGGUCCUGAGAGGGAGAUCCCCCACACUGGUACUGAGACACGGACCAGACUCCUACGGGAGGCAGCAGUGAGGAAUAUUGGACAAUGGGCGGCAAGCCUGAUCCAGCCAUGCCGCGUGCAGGAUGACGGUCCUAUGGAUUGUAAACUGCUUUUUAUACAGGAAGAAACACUACUUCGUGAAGUAGCUUGACGGUACUGUAAGAAUAAGGAUCGGCUAACUCCGUGCCAGCA